rnacentral:rRNA from 1 species
UAGGGAAUCUUCGGCAAUGGGGGGAACCCUGACCGAGCAACGCCGCGUGAGUGAAGAAGGUUUUCGGAUCGUAAAGCUCUUUUGUUAAGGAAGAACGAGUGUGAGAAUGGAAAGUUCAUACUGUGACGGUACUUAACCAGAAAGGGACGGCUAACUACGUGCCAGCAGCCGCGGUAAUACGUAGGUCCCGAGCGUUGUCCGGAUUUAUUGGGCGUAAAGCGAGCGCAGGCGGUUAGAUAAGUCUGAAGUUAAAGGCAGUGGCUCAACCAUUGUAGGCUUUGGAAACUGUUUAACUUGAGUGCAGAAGGGGGGAGUGGAAUUCCAUGGGUAGCGGUGAAAUGCGUAGAUAUAUGGAGGAACACCGGUGGCGAAAGCGGCUCUCUGGUCUGUAACUGACGCUGAGGCUCGAAAGCGUGGGGAGCGAACAGG